rnacentral:rRNA from 1 species
UGCUUAACACAUGCAAGUCGAACGGAAACAGGACGCUGUGAUCUCUUCGGAGUGAACUUGUCGCUGUCGAGUGGCGGACGGGUGAGUAAUGCAUAGGAAUUUGCCUUGAAGUGGGGGAUAGCCCGGAGAAAUCCGGAUUAAUACCGCAUGUACUCUACGGAGUAAAGCGGGCCUCUUCUUGAAAGCUCGCGCUUUGAGAUAAGCCUAUGUCGGAUUAGCUUGUUGGUGGGGUAAAGGCCUACCAAGGCGACGAUCCGUAGCUGGUUUGAGAGGAUGAUCAGCCACACUGGGACUGAGACACGGCCCAGACUCCUACGGGAGGCAGCAGUGGGGAAUAUUGGACAAUGGGCGCAAGCCUGAUCCAGCAAUGCCGCGUGUGUGAAGAAGGCCUGCGGGUUGUAAGGCACUUUUAUCGGGAAAGAAAUGCCUAAGGUUAAUACCCUUGGGACUUGACGGUACCCGUUGAAUAAGCACCGGCUAACUCCGUGCCAGCAGCCGCGGU